rnacentral:rRNA from 1 species
GACGAACGCUGGCGGCGUGCCUAAUACAUGCGAGUAGAACGCACAGUUUAUACCGUAGCUUGCUACACCAUAGACUGUGAGUUGCGAACGGGUGAGUAACGCGUAGGUAACCUGCCUGGUAGCGGGGGAUAACUAUUGGAAACGAUAGCUAAUACCGCAUAAUAUUGAUUAUUGCAUGAUAAUUAAUUGAAAGGUGCAAUUGCACCACUACCAGAUGGACCUGCGUUGUAUUAGCUAGUAGGUGAGGUAACGGCUCACCUAGGCGACGAUACAUAGCCGACCUGAGAGGGUGAUCGGCCACACUGGGACUGAGACACGGCCCAGACUCCUACGGGAGGCAGCAGUAGGGAAUCUUCGGCAAUGGACGAAAGUCUGACCGAGCAACGCCGCGUGAGUGAAGAAGGUUUUCGGAUCGUAAAGCUCCGUUGUAAGAGAAGAACGGGUGUGAGAGUGGAAAGUUCACACUGUGACGGUAUCUUACCAGAAAGGGACGGCUAACUACGUG